rnacentral:snRNA from 1 species
GGGUGUGAGGGAGAUCUGGCUGUGACAUUUGUCACCCCAUUGAUUGCCAGGGUUGAUUUGGCUGACCUGGAUGGCUAGGUGGGUGUCCCCUUUCUCUUUCUCCCCUCUAUAUGUAUUCUAAACUGUGUGCUUGGUCAAAGAGGAUGACCACCCCCAAUAGAGGAGCACCAAUUCUUCAGUCAAGGGUGUAUGAGUAGCUGCCCUCCCCUGAUAAAACCUCCAAACAAGC